AGAGUUUGAUCCUGGCUCAGGACGAACGCUGGCGGCGUGCCUAAUACAUGCAAGUCGAACGCACUGACGUCGACCGAAGCUGCUUGCAGUGGACGUUGAUUGACGUGAGUGGCGGACGGGUGAGUAACACGUGGGUAACCUACCCUUAAGUGGGGGAUAACAUUUGGAAACAGAUGCUAAUACCGCAUAACCAUUCAGACCACAUGGUCUGAAUGUAAAAGACGGCCUUUGGCUGUCACUUUUGGACGGACCCGCGGCGUAUUAGUUAGUUGGUAAGGUAACGGCUUACCAAGACAAUGAUACGUAGCCGACCUGAGAGGGUAAUCGGCCACAUUGGGACUGAGACACGGCCCAAACUCCUACGGGAGGCAGCAGUAGGGAAUCUUCCACAAUGGACGAAAGUCUGAUGGAGCAACGCCGCGUGAGUGAAGAAGGUUUUAGGAUCGUAAAACUCUGUUGUUGGAGAAGAACAGGGACUAGAGUAACUGUUAGUCCUUUGACGGUAUCCAACCAGAAAGCCACGGCUAACUACGUGCCAGCAGCCGCGGUAAUACGUAGGUGGCAAGCGUUGUCCGGAUUUAUUGGGCGUAAAGCGAGCGCAGGCGGUUUUUUAAGUCUGAUGUGAAAGCCUUCGGCUUAACCGAAGAAGUGCAUUAGAAACUGGGAAACUUGAGUGCAGAAGAGGACAGUGGAACUCCAUGUGUAGCGGUGAAAUGCGUAGAUAUAUGGAAGAACACCAGUGGCGAAGGCGGCUGUCUGGUCUGUAACUGACGCUGAGGCUCGAAAGUAUGGGGAGCGAACAGGAUUAGAUACCCUGGUAGUCCAUACCGUAAACGAUGAAUGCUAAGUGUUGGAGGGUUUCCGCCCUUCAGUGCUGCAGCUAACGCAUUAAGCAUUCCGCCUGGGGAGUACGACCGCAAGGUUGAAACUCAAAGGAAUUGACGGGGGCCCGCACAAGCGGUGGAGCAUGUGGUUUAAUUCGAAGCAACGCGAAGAACCUUACCAGGUCUUGACAUCCUUUGACCACUGUAGAGAUACAGCUUUCCCUUCGGGGACAAAGUGACAGGUGGUGCAUGGUUGUCGUCAGCUCGUGUCGUGAGAUGUUGGGUUAAGUCCCGCAACGAGCGCAACCCUUAUGACUAGUUGCCAGCAUUUAGUUGGGCACUCUAGUAAGACUGCCGGUGACAAACCGGAGGAAGGUGGGGAUGACGUCAAAUCAGCAUGCCCCUUAUGACCUGGGCUACACACGUGCUACAAUGGUCCGGUACAACGAGUUGCGAACCCGCGAGGGUAAGCUAAUCUCUUAAAGCCGAUCUCAGUUCGGAUUGUAGGCUGCAACUCGCCUACAUGAAGCCGGAAUCGCUAGUAAUCGCGGAUCAGCACGCCGCGGUGAAUACGUUCCCGGGCCUUGUACACACCGCCCGUCACACCAUGAGAGUUUGUAACACCCGAAGUCGGUGGGGUAACCCUUUUAGGGAACUAGCCGCCUAAGGUGGGACAGAUGAUUGGGGUGAAGUCGUAACAAGGUAACC
rnacentral:rRNA from 2 species